rnacentral:rRNA from 1 species
GAUGAACGCUAGCGGCAGGCCUAAUACAUGCAAGUCGAACGGUAAGGCCCUUUCGGGGGUACGACGAGUGGCGGACGGGUGCGUAACGCGUAUGCAACAUGCCUUCCAGCGGGGGAUAUACCAGGGAAACUUGGCGCAAUACCCCAUAGAAUUACGGGACCGCAUGGUCUUGUGAUUAAAACUCCGGUGCUGGGAGAUUGGCAUGCGUGACAUUAGCUAGUUGGCGGGGUAACGGCCCACCAAGGCGACGAUGUCUAGCUGGUCUGAGAGGAUGAUCAGCCACACUGGGACUGAGACACGGCCCAGACUCCUACGGGAGGCAGCAGUAGGGAAUAUUUGGACAAUGGGGGGAACCCGUACGAUCCAGCCAUGCCGCGUGAGGGAAGG